GCCCGGUUAGCUCAAUCGGUAGAGCGUGAGACUCUUAUCAGUUUCACUUUCUCAGAAAGCGAUUGAAUGGCAAUCUCAAGGUUGCGGGUUCGACCCCCGCAUCGGGCU
rnacentral:tRNA from 1 species